rnacentral:rRNA from 1 species
UCUACGGGGAGCAGCAGUAGGGAAUAUUGCUCAAUGGGGGAAACCCUGAAGCAGCAACGCCGCGUGGAGGAUGAAGGUUUUAUGAUUGUAAACUCCUUUUGUGAGAGAAGAUAAUUACGGUAUCUCACGAAUAAGCACCGGCUAACUCCGUACCAGCAGCCGCGGUAAUACGGGGGGUGCAAGCGUUACUCGGAAUCACUGGGCGUAAAGCGUGCGCAGGCGGGCUUGUAGGUCAGAUGUGAACUCCUGUGGCUUAACUACAGAACUGCCGUUGAAACUAUGUGUCUAGAGUGUGGGUGAGGUAGGUGGAAUUCGUGGUGUAGGGGUGAAAUCCGUAGAUAUCAAGAGGAAUACUCAUUGCGAAGGCGGCCUACUGGAACGUUACUGACGCUCAUGCACGAAAGCGUGGGUAGCAAACAGGAUUAGAUACCCCAGUAGUC